GAUGAACGCUGGCGGCGUGCCUAAUACAUGCAAGUCGAGCGAACAGACGAGGAGCUUGCUCCUCUGACGUUAGCGGCGGACGGGUGAGUAACACGUGGAUAACCUACCUAUAAGACUGGGAUAACUUCGGGAAACCGGAGCUAAUACCGGAUAAUAUAUUGAACCGCAUGGUUCAAUAGUGAAAGACGGUUUUGCUGUCACUUAUAGAGGGAUCCGCGCCGCAUUAGCUAGUUGGUAAGGUAACGGCUUACCAAGGCAACGAUGCGUAGCCGACCUGAGAGGGUGAUCGGCCACACUGGAACUGAGACACGGUCCAGACUCCUACGGGAGGCCGCAGUAGGGAAUCUUCCGCGAUGGGCGAAAGCUUGACGGAGCAACGCCGCGUGAGUGAUGAAGGUCUUCGGAUCGUAAAACUCUGUUAUUAGGGAAGAACAAAUGUGUAAGUAACUAUGCACGUCUUGACGGUACCUAAUCAGAAAGCCACGGCUAACUACGUG
rnacentral:rRNA from 1 species